rnacentral:rRNA from 1 species
UGGUGGAGUGAUUUGUCUGGUUUAUUCCGAUAACGAACGAGACCUUAACCUGCUAAAUAGUCACCUGAACCUUGUGUUUGGGCCGACUUCUUAGAGGGACUGUGGACGUGAAGUCCACGGAAGUUUGAGGCAAUAACA